rnacentral:lncRNA from 1 species
AAAAAUUGUCAUUAUUUUUCCCCCACUCCACAUAUCCAUGCCUUUUGUAGUGUGCCUUUGUGGCUCUUACCAUCAAGUAGAAUAGUCUAUUUCUACACCCACUUGAAUCUGGGCUAGCCUUGUGACGUGUUUUUAAUAGAAUGCAGCAGAAGUGACAUUCUGCCAGUUCUGAGCCUAAACCUGUAGGAGGUCUAGCAUACUUCCAUGUAGCCACCAUGAGAACAAGCCCAGGCCCUCUUUUUGGAGGAUGAAUGAGAGAUGGGCUAUAGAUGAGCCAUUGUGACUGAAGCCCAAACCUGUAAGACAGCCCAGGCAAGAUUAGGAAACCAACCCCCAGUCAACCCUCGGUUGGCCAUAAACACUUGAGUAAGCCAUGCCCAAAACAGCUGAGCCAGAGCAGAACUAUGAACUAACAAGUGUUUGUUAUUUUAAGCCACUGACUUUGGGAGGUGGUUUGCUGUACAGCAAUAGUUAAUUGAUACAAGAUGAUAGUCUUAUUUCCUUUUAAGAUAGGAUGAAAUUAAGGCAUAGAGAGAUGAAAUAAUUUAUCCAAGGAGGCACAGCUAGUAAGUGGGGAAACUCAAGAUUCAAUCCAAGCACUAAAUAAAUCUAAGGUUUCUUCUUCCACUACAACCUCUGCCAGUAGAAUGGAAACAAGAAGAAAAACUAACAAAACCAAAUGUCAUAGCUAUUUAAAUAUGACAAAACUGAAAUCACUUCCCCAGCUGUCUUCUGGAUAGUAUGUAAUGUGUGUGCAUCUGUAUAUGUUUGCAGAGAACAAUCUAUUCAAUGGAGAGAAUGAGAUGCAAACAGAAGUUUAUUUGGGAUUCUGGACGAGUGGAGAGGAGGAAUUACUUGUAUGGCUUUGCCCAUUUGAGGAUUCAACAUCUUGGGAUUGCUUCUAACAGGAUGCUGCAGAUCAAGGGAAAUCCUCCAGGAGAGAGUUGUUGCCUGAGGCCCAUGAA